ensembl:lncRNA
AUAAAAGCCAACAUUGUGUCCAGAUUCCUGUAAGCUCUGCUUGCUUCAGUGACAGUUUACAAGUGCAGUUAAUGAGUUAAUGUGAAGAUACAAACUCUUAUUGAAAGGGAAUGACUAUAUUACAUGAAGAAGAAAAAAAUAAGUCAUGAAGUCUUCAGAAGCCUCAUGGGCCAAAAGCAGAGAAAGGGAGAGAAAAUACAAUAUCCACAUGCCUGCAAGAAAUACAAUGGAUACUUCAGAAAAGAAAAAGACAUCCAAGCUGCCUUAGUAAAUUUGGAUUGCAAACUCACUUGGUGGAGCAAUUUGAACCAGGGAUAUCAUGAAUGCUCAGGAUCCCACACACCAAUCUGAGUUGCUGGCUUGGACCUUUUCAGACGUGAGAGAGCUGACCCUGUUUUAUUAUAGACACUGUUACAUGCAGUAACUCUUGAACUACCAAGUAAAUGGUAGGUGAUGAUGAUGCCUAGCUGAUAGCUCUUUUCCUUCUUUGUUGGGGUUUUUUGUUUGCUUGUUUCUUUUGUUGUUGCUGUUUUUUUGGUUUUCUUGUUGUUGUUUUUUUUGUUUUGUUUUUUUCUUUACAAGCACCACUAACAGAACUGUUCAUUUUGGAUUGAGUGAAACGACAUUUUCUAUUUCAGCAGUAGAUUUUCCUCUGCAAUCUCUCCCUCACGUUCCAUGGUUAGCUCAAUUUGUUGUUGUUGUUCUACUGGUACUACCACUUUUUCCCCACUUUGGCAACAAACUCUGAAAAAACAAAUUGGUUUUUCAAUCAGUCUGCCUCAAGAAUACAAGUUGAUGUUGGGCUUUCACCAAAGCUUUCGAUAUAUCAGGCCAGCCUGGGUAUACACUUCAAAAAGAUCUUUCCUCUACGACUCUGCCAGCUUGUGCAUCCUUUAUUGCAGGCACAACAAGGGUGACAAUUUGUGGCAGGCCUGGUGGGAGCUGAUCCUAGUGGCGGGCACGCAGUCAGCUAUAGCAUGCUGUCAAUUUUACCUGCCUGCAACUCUCCCAGAGGCCUGAGUCUGCCAGAGUUCACAAAAAUGAGGACAAACAGUGCUGUUUUUUGUAGUUUUUUUUUUUUUCAUAAGCCGAUUCAGGUACUUGGAAAACAGGUUGAGCUGGGAGGGAAGACAGAUGACAUGUGAAAAGGGACCACCUAUGAAAAGAGAUUUUUGCCUUCCUAUUUGUGCACACGUGAAAUUUGCUGUUAAGCAGAAUUAAACAAGGAGAAAAAAAUCUCUUACACAGUGCAUAAGACAGUUUUGUGAUCUCAGACUUCAGAUGCCGGGAUGCAUUUGCCAGUCAUUAGGAAGGCAGUAUUCACACACUUGUUCUUUGUAAGAAUGACACACCUUGUUAAUAGAAUCAUAAAACCAUAGAAUAUCCCAAGUUGGAAGGGACCUUUAAAAAUUGUCAAGUCCAACACUUGGCUCCACACAGGAACACAAUAGUUAAGUGCAAAUAUUUCUUCUUCUGCAGUCCUCCAAUGACAUCUGCCAAAACUGAGAUAUUGGCUAGAAUGAAUCAGUCAGUUACUCAAAUCUGGCUAAUUGUGUAUCCUUGUAGAUGACAGGACAUCGAGGGACUGUGUACAAAAUGUCAUUGGUCAUCUGUACACCUUGAGCUGUAUUGUGUGUUGAUAAUAAAUUUGACACCACCAUUGGAGGAAAUACUGAAUACUGAAGUCCUGUUCAAAGGAACCAUCUUCUAUUUCUUUCUUAAAAAGGUGUAUUCUUCCUAAGAAAAAAUAAAAAAAAAAAUUAAAAAAAAUGAUAUUCUGUACAAAAUACACCUUAGCACCUUAGGCAUUGCAAGGAUCACCAACCAAUGUGCUGAGGAAUAGCAUAGCAACCGUCACCAGGGAGAAUGUCAAAACUCUGAGACAUGCAGGCAGGAGGAAAAAAAAAAAAAAACGAAAGCAGGCAAUGAGGUAAGUUCCAGCUUCCUUUAAAUCUCCAAGAAAUGGUUUAAUUCCCAUACAGUUCAACUGCACUGAAUCUAACAACAGCAACAACAACAAAGGAAACUGUGUGUAUAUAUAAAACACACAAAGUAAUCUAUGCUAUUUUUCAGAGGGAAGAUGCAAACUUUGCAAACAGAGAAGGUGAAAACAUGGAUUUUGGUAGUACAACUCAGAACACAAUCUAGUUGUAUUCAAUAACGCAUUUCUUUAGGGUAAAUCCUGUAUUAUAGAUCCUGGUUUUGCAUGCUAGUUUUCCAAACGAAUAACAAGAGCAUUAGUCCCUCACUAGGGACUACAAAGCCCAGUGCCUUUGUUGCUUAUUGUCACAUACUGCAGGGUGAUUUUGCCAAAACACUCAUAGCAUCUGGUGUUCUCCUUUCAGUCCUUGCUUGGGGGAUAAUGUGAGAAAUCUCAGAUGUUACUUUUAAAAUUAUUUUUAAACAAAUACCAAAUCUUUGAUGUAGCAGCAUGAAAUGGAGAAACUGGCCUACAUGCCCUGCACAGAUAUAAAAAUGCAAGGACAUAUAUCAACUGCUUAACUACAUAACCAGUUUUCUUCUAGCUUUUCUUUCCUUUUGUGCUUUAUUUAUUUAUUUAGCUGCCCUGAAGAUUUUUUAGCCUAACUUCUCUCCUAUCCCUCUCCAAUCCAUUCAUAAUUCUGUAGUUUUGACUCACUUCUGAAAACUGGAAGAUAGGACCUGGCAUCUUGUUAGACCAGAAAGGAUCUUACAUGGAUGUCUUCAUCAUAGAAACAAAGUUCUUGCUCAUAAUCCAAGAAUAACUCUUUAAAAUCAUGACUUUUAGUUGUUCUGUUUUGGAUGAGGAUAUGGGACUUACUGUUCUCAGUAGAUCCUGAUGAUCAGCAUGAAGUCAUGAUUUGUAAAAGCUCUAGGGAACCUCCUUUAGCAGAGGGAUUGGUCUUGAUGAUUCCCAAGGGUCCUUUCCAACAAUCCAUUGUUGUGAUUCUGUGAUUUUCAUUAAUCCGUGUCUUAUAAUUAUUUCCUUCUGUCUUGAAUCAUUGUCUAUGGAACUUUGAUGCUGUUAUCUAACUACAUUAAAAAUCUUGAGGUAAAGUACUCAUGACAGAGAAGAUCUGUUAGGAACCACUGGGAAUAUUUAUUUAUUUAUUUAUUUAUUUAUUUAUUUAUUUAAAUUUAAAAUUGGCUGUUGAUCUCCUGGAAACAGUGUCCUUUUGAAAAGUAAUUCUAGAACUACAAGGAGGAUUAGGAAAAAAAAAACCACAGAAAUUUCUGGAAAAACUUCUGUGAAUAGGCACAAAAACAUAUUGGAUUUAAACUAUACUUAGUUAAAAAGAAACAGAAAAGUACCAGGAGGUUUCUUGAGAGAAUAUCUCCUAAUAGAGCAAAUAAUAUUGUAAAAAUUUGUCAUAGUCCAGUUCUGUAUUUUUUUCCUUCUCUAAUAAAAAUAAAAUAAAAUAAAAUUUUUGCAUCUUACCGACACAUAGAAUGCACAGUAUGAAUAGUUCAGUUUACCAGAGCUUAUCUUCUAUGUGUGAGUUUGCUGGUUCAUUAAUAUUUUCUAAAUCAUGAGGUUUUGUCCAUAUUAGGACAGAGAACACCUGUAAAAAGCAUAUUAAAAAAAAUGAUAACAUGUGGUUCUUAUCAAUUACUAAAUGUAUUAUCUUUAUUUGUUUGUUUUAAAAUAAAAAUAUGGAUUACAGUAGCAAGCAUAUUAUCAAGCAAGCAAUCCUGCUGUGCUUCAGUUGUUUGAUAUUAUGCAAGUUGGAGUAAAUUUUUGCUCUUCUGUUACAGUUCUGAUGCAUGAGGAAGCCAAAAGAAAAUAUGUUUGCACCCGACCAUGCAGCAUCUGAUCUGUAUGGGUAAUUUGCUGUAACUGGGAAUCAAUGACACAAAUUCUGUGACUCUAUCUAAUAAGAGAUUCAAUAAUUUUACAGCCAUUAGCACAGCAAACUAAGUCUGUAAGGAUGAUGAUCAAAAAUCACACUUUAGGGCAUAAACUAAUUGCCCAGUAAGCCAGGAAAUUAUAUGUUUCUCCUGUGUUGCACAAACAGUCAGAUGUCCUAUAAGUUUUCACCUUUUUUUUUCCAAAAAACAAGAGAAAUGAAAUACUGAAUGAGGCUUCAUUGCUUGGAUGUAGAAAUGAAGAAAUCCAGAAUUGUAAGUUGAGAAAUAAAUGUUACAUUAAUGUAGACCUCAUUUUCCUGGGUAAGUUCAUUAUUUAAUAUAUAAUAUCUUUCCACUGUAUCAUAAUUCGUACAUAAUAUGAAUGAGAGCUGUGCCAGAAAGAAAUUAAAACACAUAAGAGUUGACAAAUAAUAGGUUGUAGGCUGUGGGUUUCGGGGUUGUAGCCUGACAGAAAUUUAACCACACAAGGUGCUCUUUUUCCCCUCACUGCCCUCAGUGAUUAAAAUUAGCAAUGACAAUCCGGCCCCAGCUUUUCAGGUUGAAGCUAUUGUCAUGGUCUUGAAUGAUCCCCAUCUCUGCAUAAAAAUGUAUAUUAGUGUUUGUAUCCUGCUUUUUUUUUUCUUUUUUCCCCCUCUUAAAAAGCACAGAAAGAACAAGAGAGGAGAAAGUAUCUCUCAUUGCUAGCAUGCUUCUACUUCGUUGUUUGCCUACAGGGCUGCCCUGAACCCUUGCUCCCAUUCCAUCAUAAUACAGGCAGCAAUCAUUUUUCCUUCAAAGGACAAAGUUUGGCCACUUACAGAGAAAAAAAGAAAAAGGAAAAAGAAGAUGAAAAAAAAAGAAAAAAAAAAAAAAGGAAAAGAUACAUCUCUCUUAGCUCCUAAAGUCUAGACCAGGAAAAACCACCAUUUGGUGAAGCUUUGCAAGGACAAAUUUAAGUAGUCGUUAUCAGGAGCUGGGAGGGGCAGGGAGAGAAAGGUCAGGUCUAUACAUAGCCUAAGCAUUUGCUACUUGCUGUUGCCAGGCAAAGGUUACCCAGCUAAAUGAACCUUAUGUCUAACCCCAUGUGGUAUUUUUUGUGUUCUUAUCUGAACUUCUGUCAUGCUGAGCAGAGCAGCUCGCACCUGACAUUUUUUCCUUUAUGGCCUUUUAAGCUACUAAGUCUGAUUAGUAUAGCAUCCUUAGGGAGUGGGAAGACACAGGGCAGGGGGGAAAGGUGGCAGGUAUUUUAAGGCAGGAAAAGGAUCUCCCUCCCACCUAGAUUUUCAGCCAUCCACAUAGCUGCUUCUGUCCUUCCUUCCCCUUAGUGACUAUAAUCGGAGGUGGCGCUGACUCUCAGUCCUCAGGAUCAACAAUUUUUGGUCAAAUUUGUCCAUGAAAAAUACUCUCUUUGUUAAUGAAGAAUUUAAAUCUAAGAUUUUAAUCACACAUCAGGACGCUCAAAGUUAAGGUUGCCACAGCAACCUUACAAUAAGGCUUUGUGCAAUGCAGUUAGUGAAACACACAUUUCAGUUAAAAAUUGUCUCAUUUAUCUGACAGCUUUUUAUCUCCCCCCAGAUUCUGUUCUCUCUGAAUUGUCAUCCAAAUGAGGGGAAGGACAAGAGCCAUUCUGGCAGAGGCUGAACAGCCCCAGCUCUUUCAGCCUGUACUCAUGGGGAAGGUGUUCCAUCUCUUGGAUGAUUUUUGUGGCCCUCCUUUGGAUGCACUCCACAGGUCCAUGUCUCUCCUGUACUGAGGACACCACAUCUGAACACAGUACUCCAGCAUCUUCCUGCCUGCACGGUACCCAACAACUUUGGGUGAAUUGCUGGUGUCUGAUGCUAGCAAUUGUAAGUUAGCACCUGGCUCAGUCCUGCUGUUGUUAGACCAGCAAAACUUGAAAAAGAAAACAGCUUUUGUGCUGGAUGUAGAAGUGAAAUAACCAUUUACAAUUCAGAAAAACAGAUGACAAGGUCAGAAACAUGAAGACAAGGAUAAAAGACCAACUCUGAUCUGAUGAGCCAUUGGAGUCUUCAAUAUAAAUUCACUUAGACACCAGCAGAGCUUUAAGCAGAGUUGAAUUUUCAUGCUGGAAAGAUGGAUGUUUUUAUAAAGCUUCCUCGCUCCCAUUUAAUGGGAGAGGAAUUUUAGUUUCAGCACGAUUAAACAUGAUGAAAAGAAAUAUUGUUUGAGCCAAUAGUAAUCAAGUGUUUGUUCCAUGAUUUUCAUUGUUAAUUUUUACUGUUCUGAUCAGCAAUGCAUUUUUCUUCUCUCAGAAGGCAAGGUAUAGCACUUUAAUGGCUGUCAUCAUCUCACAUUGUAAGCUACAAGCACUUUAGGAAUUACUGAACCAAUGUUUGGCAGAGGCUAACAAAAUCACAUCCAUGCAGUGUGAAUAAUCUGAUUCAUGUAUCUUCAUUCAAUAUUUUUAACAAUGCAGGCCAAAAAAAAAAAAAAAAAAGGGCAGCUUUCUUUCUUCUUAAUUCAUAUUGUACUGAAGUGUUUGAAGCAGAAAACCAGCUAAUGGCUAAUGAUCAAGUUUCUGACUUCUCAAGAGAUACGCUACCUGCAGGUAUGUGCGUAAAUCCCACCUGGUCCUCCAACAUGCUCUCAGGUGUCCCUUACCUGUACAGCUCUUAGCAACUCAGAAGGGACUGAGUGCUGACAAUCUGCAGAAUAUCAUCAGUUUUUACUGCAAGCACUGGGAGCUCAUGGAGCUCUGCAUCUUUCCAGAUUCAAUUCUGAAGGUGCCAGUAGUUUUAUAAUUCAAUCCACCAAGAAACAUACUGAAAAACCAUUUCAUAGAGAUCAACACACAGACUAGGCAGCAAUAUCUCUCCCUCAUAGCAAGGCAGCAGCCUGGAUGCCAAAGUCUCUCUAAUGUAUGUUUUUUCACAAGCUGUCAUAAUGCUGUUUCUGGGUAUUUAUUCCCUUUUGAAUUAUCCAGGAGAAUAAGAAUUGGAUAGGUGGUAAUCCUCAAACAUUUUCUUAGUUAAGUUUGCACUGAGGAAAAAGAUCUGUACUAACUCAAUUCAUUCUGAGUGAAACCCAGACAAGACAUUAUUAACUAAAUCUUUGAAAUAUUUUUAUUAAGUGCUCUUCUAAAUAUAACAAAGAUUUAGACAACUAACCAUUAUCAAUCACCUAGGUUUCCCCAAAAUUGCGUAGUGAUCGGUAUAACUAAGGCAAAGAUACAUCUCCUUCUUUUGACUGUAGAGACGGCCCAGAAAGCUAGUGUAGGCUAAUAAUAAAGCACCUAAUCACAGUACAAAUUAUUCUGUAUUUUCAUCACACUUUUUUUUUUUUCAGCACAUGUUCAAAAACAAUACAGUGGAAUAAUAACAUCUAGGAGUUGACUUAACAUUAGCAAUAAGGAUUAGACCCAAUGAUGAGACCCAAUGAGGAUAAUCAGACUUCCCAGGAAUUCACUAAAGAAGUUUGCUUCAGAAAACAGCACAGUUUGAGCCAUGACUUCAGAAAUACAAUAACAAAUAUAAAAUAUUUCAUACAAUUUACUUUGAGAUGGGUGAAACUAAGGGAUGAAGAGAUGAUUGUGUGUUGCUGAAAUGCCUGACAAUAGAGUUUGACAACUUCCUGAACGUAUAGAUUAAUGUUUAGCUAGGCAAAGCAGUAUAAACAGGAGUGAUUAGAAAAUCAAAUGAAAGUAAAACACACAAAUAGUUGAACAUCAUAUUUCCUACGCUUUCCAAUAUGUUUCCUCUCAGUCUGAAACAAAUUUUUCUGAAAAAUAUCUGGUAAAAAAUUCCUUGAGCCUAGUUGUUAUUUCUAACAGCUACUUUAUAUGAAUGUCAUAAACUCAGCAGGCUUGAUCUUAGGAAUAAAGACGCCAACCUUUUAUAAUGUUUUUGUUACAAAUUAAGGAUGACACCUUUAAAAAAGAGCUUAAGACUGAUGUACGCCUACUGCUACUCUGCCUAUUGCUCUUUGCUGAGAAAUAAAUUUUACCUUUAAGUGUGAAGUUAGUGAUGAUCUCUUACCAGAGAUUUCAACUAAUUCUGAAUUCAUUCAGGCGUUAUACCAUUUGAAAGUCUCUCUUAAAUGCUGGUAUUUUUGGAAAAGCUUAGAUAAAGAGAGGAGGAGGGUGUAAGCAGAACUCAGUACAAAGAGAAGGAAAAAUAUAGCAGUAUGAAAACUAAAGCUAAAAUAAAGAGAAAAGAGGAGAGAAGCUAUGGAGUGAUUAUUAUUUUAGUAAGAAGGACUACCAUGAUCAAAUCUUCAACCUGUAUGUAAUGACAGAUCAAGCUAACACCAUCACAGAACAGUGAGUGGCAGAAAGAGUCCUCUGGCAGAUGGAACUCAAAGUAGGAUGCGAUUUUCACAGACCUCUACUGUGACUGGGACAAGCCUUUCUCCACUGUAAUUCUGUGAAAGGGAAAUGAAAGUUUUCACUUUCAAGAGCUGUUGAAAAAAAAAAAAAAUCAGUAAUUCUUUAUGACAUCUUCAGAUGUAAAAGUGUAUAAUCAUUUAAAUACAGAAUAACUUAUAUCAAACAGCAGAAAAGCUAGUCUGUAAUCUUUCCUGCACCCUGGUUCUCUUUUUGUUAUAUUAUUUGUCAUAUAACGGAGAACAACCAGUGUAUAUAGACUGUAUUGCGUUUCUAGCAAAUUCGUCUGAGCUAAAGCAAAAUAAAAAUCACACACUACCCUGCAUUCUAAUUCAGUGCUUCAGCUUUGAGAAUUUACUUGCAGAAUCAAAAUGUACCUAUUAUCUUUAUUGUACUAUGCAAGACACAUUUUUGGAAACAGAACCACUCCUGGCCCUGAAUGCUUUUUCAAAGACCAUCCCACCAUAGAAAACACCGACAUCUUUCAAGUAAAAUGUGGAAUAUGGAAACCAAUUAUUC